UGCGGCGCGAACAUGCGCGGGUCCCUCACCUGGAGGGCAGGUAGUCCCAGGCUCCCACCUUCAGGGAUCUGCUGCGAGAGCAUCACACGGUUCCAUCCUCCCGGCGUCCUCUUCGACCCUUCUUCAGACUACCUCCCCUCGUCUGGCCCGCAGGGACCGUCCAACCCCAUUCUUUCCUCCAAACACCUGCCUCUGGAGUUCUCCUUCAACCCUGGUCUCACCCUCCCAAACCCCUCCACGAGCUUCUCACUAACCCAUCCAGCACCCUGGCUGGCAUCGACACCCUUAUCAGCUCAUCCCAGGUCAACGCAGCCUUUGCCGACCCCCUUUUGAGGGUUAAGCGGUUUGUAGACGCCAAAGAAAAGGAUGGGAUGUAUCCAUUCUCAGCUGUUGGAGAGAACUGGUGGUUGGCUGUGAAUCUGCACAGGAAUUGGCCAUUGAGAAUCCCUCUGUAAGGUCCUGGAGUCCUCUGGGUGGGUCGGUUAGUGGUUUGCAUCCUCUUUUUGGGAUGGAAAAGACGCAAUUAUGUAAAGCCGAUUUCAAAAUGGGAUAUCGUGUUUCAUAGGGGUAGGUUUCUUUCCCUCUGUGCUGGUUUCUUAAUUUGACAGUUUGUAGACUGUUGUCUUUCUUGGCAGUUUUGAGGCAGUCCUGAUAGUUCAUGAUCAGAGAUGUUAGUUUGCAAUACUCCUAAGACAGGAAUUGUAGCAGUCAUUUCUUUUUGCGUCAAUUGAGUGUUCCCUUCAUAUGUUAAACAUUUAAGCAAGAAAGAAAGCCAGAGCUUGAAGCUCUGUUCUUAAAAGAUCAUGAACUUUUAACUACAGAGAUCCCUUUAAAAAGCCAGUGGUUCUCAAUCUUGCUGAAGGGCCAGAACUGGCUGUUUGUGCGUACAGGGAGAUUGCAGGGCUGGCGAAGGCUCCUGCCAUCAGGCCUAAUGGCCUGAGAUAAAUCCUUGUGGCUUAACAGUGGAAGACGGAGAAGUGGAAGAGGAAGAACUGUCUUCCGUAAGUUGGCUUUUGACCUCCAUGCAGUCCAGCUCACAUACCUGCACACAAAAGAAAUGUAUAACAUGUAAUUAAAAAUUAACUAGCAGGUGAUUAAUCUUUUGAAAGACUUAUGUACUCUUUACUUUCUCUUAAGAAGUUUACCUACAUUAAAAAAAAAAAAAACCCUUGACAGUUCGAUUGCUCUUUUAUUCCUGUGCUUUGCGUAUAGCUUAGAUGACUUAGAAAUUCUUCCGUUGAAAGAAAUCAAGUUGCUAUGCACAGUCAUGUUUUGGAGGGCAGCGGGAAGACUGCUCUGACACCUUCCUUGUAUUAAAAGGACCUGAUUAAUAUUGUGGGACAAAGAGGAGCAUUCACAUGGUGCCCACAUCCUCUGAAUGAACAGAGGCUUUAGGGGAAUAAAGCAUAAUGAGGAAGGCCAGAUUGGACCAUUACUCCAUAGUUUUUUCCCUGUGGCCUUUCCCAGACAUUCUGGUGCUUCACGUAGGCCGGGCCAGCCCAGCCCUGUUUACCUUAUUACUUACCUGACCUUGUAAUUGCUAUAAAUGCAUGCAUACUUGUUGAGCUGCUUUACCUGUCUCCUCCCCAACAAGAUUGGAAGUGCAAUGAGAGUAGGUUGUUUUCUCCACCUCUGCAUUCCAGGACAUGCCAAAUGGUAGGUGGCAAAAAUAAAUAAAUAAAUAAAUUAAUAAUAAUAAUAAUAAUAAUAAUGAUAAUAUAAAAAAGUCUGCUGAAUAAAUGAGCAUUACGGAAUAAGUCCCUGAAGUGGAGUUGCUGGGCCACAGGGUAUGCUGAUAAAGCUGGUAAAGCUGAAGUAUGCACUGAAGAAUUAGUGCUGAUCGGCCUCCAUCAGUGUAAGUGGCCUGCUCCUAAGACUGUGUACAGUCACCACGUUUCGACCUUGCCUAUUUCUUUUAGCUCUUCUUUUCGGAUACUUGUAGCUACAUGAAAGUGGAUAAAAUCUUAUAAUGGUCCUUUAUCUGGCACAGACUUUUAAGCUUUCACUGUUAGCAGUCUUGAAUCAUCCCUCUCCUUGCCAUUUUUUUUUUUUUCCAGGGUGGGUGCUACACUAUUUUUAAGCAAACUUUAUUUAUAAGUACUUUAGAAUUACUUGAACAAAAAAGAAAUGAUUUGAAACACUGUAAUAAUGUUAGUAUAUGUCAGCUAUGUAUAAUGUCCAGUCUGCACACUCACUUUCUAAAUUCUCAGAGUCUUACUGAUUAUCUUAAAAUUCUGUUUUCCUUUUCCUUUGUUCCCUAUGUACUUCCUUUAGAAAAAUUCUAUACACCUUUUUUAUUUGUUUCUUAUUUUGUGUAUGUAUGAUGUGUAUGUGGAAGUACAUGUACCGUGUAAAGGUCAGAGGACAAUUUCGGGGAAUUUGUUUUCUCUUCUACCUUUAUGUGGGUUCUGGGGUCAAACUCAGUUCUCCAACUCUCCUUUACUGUAUGAGUCAUCUUGCUGGCCUCUCCUAUACAUUUCUAUCCUAAUUGUUUUUUGUUGUUGUUGAAAAUAGGAUUCUUUAUCAUAGCACAUAUUCUUAUUUUUUUUAGCUCAAAACUAGUAACAUUAUUUCUCAUGGCUUUUACAGUUGAUUCUCUUUGGUCUUCUAAGUAUUCUGUGGUGACAACUGCAAAUAGUAAGAAUUUUGUCCCUCGUCUUUCAAUUUUAAUGUCAUUUGUUUCUUUCUCUUUUCUGAUUCAUGGUAUAUCCCAACAGAAAGUCCAGUACUGUGGUUGAUACUGGACCUCUGUGACUAGUCUAUGACUUUACUGACAGCCAAGUACUGUGGGUGAUACUGGGUGCCUUGACUAAUUCAUGACUUUAUUACAAUUAAGAACAAUGGCUGACUCUCUUGUUCUCUCUCCUCUUCUCUGCUCUCUUGCUCUUGCCCUCUUCCCCUACUUCUCUCCCCAUUCCCCUCCCCUCCAUGUGCUCAUGGCUGGCCUUUACUCCUCUCCUCUAUCUACUCUUCUUCUCUCAUUAAACCUUUCCACAUUGGAGUUGGGGAGACAAUGGCUGAUACUGAGCACUUCCAUGACUUUACUGAUAGUGCUUUGGAUGGUUUGUUUGUUUGUUUUGCCAUUAAGUGUAAUCCUGGUUCUUUUGCUAAGGAGUUUGUUGCUGGUAGUAUUUUAAAAUAAAAAACAAUGGUACUGGA